AACCUAGCACACCUGCGGUGUGUACCUGCGGAAGGAUCAUUACCGAGUUUACAAACUCCCAAACCCUUUGUGAACCUUACCUAUCGUUGCUUCGGCGGGAUCGCCCCGGGCCGGCCCUUCACGGGGCCUCCGGAACCAGGCGCCCGCCGGAGAACCCAAACUCUUUGUUUUUAUGGUUUUCUCCUCUGAGUGGAUUAUAAACAAAUAAAUCAAAACUUUUAGCAAUGGAUCUCAGAUCGG
rnacentral:misc_RNA from 1 species